rnacentral:rRNA from 1 species
ACGCUGGCGGCGUGCUUAACACAUGCAAGUCGAACGAUGAUGCCCAGCUUGCUGGGUGGAUUAGUGGCGAACGGGUGAGUAACACGUGAGUAACCUGCCCCUGACUCUGGGAUAAGCGUUGGAAACGACGUCUAAUACUGGAUAUGAUCACUGGCCGCAUGGUCUGGUGGUGGAAAGAUUUUUUGGUUGGGGAUGGACUCGCGGCCUAUCAGCUUGUUGGUGAGGUAAUGGCUCACCAAGGCGACGACGGGUAGCCGGCCUGAGAGGGUGACCGGCCACACUGGGACUGAGACACGGCCCAGACUCCUACGGGAGGCAGCAGUGGGGAAUAUUGCACAAUGGGCGAAAGCCUGAUGCAGCAACGCCGCGUGAGGGAUGACGCCCUUCGGGUUGUAAACCUCUUUUAGUAGGGAAGAAGCGAAAGUGACGGUACCUGCAGAAAAAGCACCGGCUAACUACGUGCCAGCAGCCGCGGUAAUACGUAGGGUGCAAGCGUUGUCCGGAAUUAUUGGGCGUAAAGAGCUCGUAGGCGGUUUGUCGCGUCUGCUGUGAAAUCCCGAGGCUCAACCUCGGGCUUGCAGUGGGUACGGGCAGACUAGAGUGCGGUAGGGGAGAUUGGAAUUCCUGGUGUAGCGGUGGAAUGCGCAGAUAUCAGGAGGAACACCGAUGGCGAAGGCAGAUCUCUGGGCCGUAACUGACGCUGAGGAGCGAAAGCAUGGGGAGCGAAC